rnacentral:rRNA from 1 species
AUUGAACGCUGGCGGCAGGCCUAACACAUGCAAGUCGAACGGUAGCACAGAGAGCUUGCUCUCGGGUGACGAGUGGCGGACGGGUGAGUAAUGUCUGGGAAACUGCCCGAUGGAGGGGGAUAACUACUGGAAACGGUAGCUAAUACCGCAUAACGUCUUCGGACCAAAGGGGGGGACCUUCGGGCCUCACACCAUCGGAUGUGCCCAGAUGGGAUUAGCUAGUAGGUGGGGUAAUGGCUCACCUAGGCGACGAUCCCUAGCUGGUCUGAGAGGAUGACCAGCCACACUGGAACUGAGACACGGUCCAGACUCCUGCGGGAGGCAGCAGUGGGGAAUAUUGCACAAUGGGCGCAAGCCUGAUGCAGCCAUGCCGCGUGUAUGAAGAAGGCCUUCGGGUUGUAAAGUACUUUCAGCGGGGAGGAAGGCGGUGAAGUUAAUAGCUUCAUCGAUUGACGUUACCCGCAGAAGAAGCACCGGCUAACUCCGUGCCAGCCGCCGCCGUAA